CACUCGAUGCAACAGACUGAGUAGCUUGUCCCGGGAAGUGGAAUAUGCCAAGAAUGAACAAGUGAACUAGGAGGGAUCUUGAUCGAUAAUGGCCACUCAUUCGGCAUGGCUACCCAGAAACAUCUUCAAAAGUUGAUAAAUUUGAUAAAAGUUGAGUUCUACAAUAACUAGCUAUCUGGUCAGCUGGCUACCAACAUUGGCUGACUAGCAAGCUAGCUAGGCUGCUAAUGCUAGGUUGCUAAAACUUUGAGAAACGUGUAACACGUAAUUGUACACAUAGAUAGAGCUAACUAACUAGCUACAAUGCGGACGAUUGUGCCAUGGACUAAUUAGUUAAAGAGGCUGUGGCUAGUAUUGCCAUUGCAGAGCGGGGUACAAAGCUGUGACCCAAGGGGAUCAGGGCUGGAUUUCGUGAUACAUGCCCCUCCCACCCCUCUCCCUUGUCCACUCCCAGGGUCAGGUAGGUAUGGGAUGCAGUGCAGUGUUGUACGAUCUUCUCCCAAUAUUGCACUCGUCCCGGCCUCCCUGACCGUCGGGAAACCACAUCUCCUCUCCAGGGGUGUGAGGGAGGCAGUCCCAUCGUUUCUACAACCAUAAAGUUGCCAGAGGUACCUGGUGGGACAAGGAAGACUUUCUCCACAGGUUCACUGCAACAAACAGGUGUCUGUUGGAACAGUUUCUGUGAGUUAUAAGAGAUGGAGACAGUUAAGUGAGAGAUUGUUCUCUGCCCCUUUGUUGGGUUAAUGGAAUAUUGGGCCCUUUCUCUUAAAAAAAGAAUCAGCCAUAUACCGCACUGUCUGUGUACAUGCAUUCCAUUGAGUGGCUUUCUGGUACACAUCACAUUACUGCAAAAUUGUUGAACAUUAAUUAUUCAGAAAUUACAUCUUUUUUAAAAAGACACCAAGUCAGUGGCUUUCACAAGGCUAGUAUAUAUAUCAUAUGCUUGGUGUGUGUAUAUGUACUUAGCUAUGGUUACCUUGUGUCAUAUCCACAUUACUAUGACGAGCUAUGACUGAAAAUAUAUGAAUUGUUUUUAAUGUAGAUUAUAAUGGUAUAUUUCUUUCCUGUUUUUGUGUUGUCAUCUGAGUAGGAUCUGAAGGCAUUUAAAACAUUUGUCAAGAAGUGAUGUUGAUGGGACAAUAAAACUAGUCCAAAUCUUCUGUGCAGGAACUUAAUAAAUACUUUGGUGUACAAAAAUAAA